UACGAAGGGGGCUAGCGUUGCUCGGAAUCACUGGGCGUAAAGCGCACGUAGGCGGCUUUUUAAGUCAGGGGUGAAAUCCUGGAGCUCAACUCCAGAACUGCCUUUGAUACUGAAGAUCUUGAGUUCGGGAGAGGUGAGUGGAACUGCGAGUGUAGAGGUGAAAUCCGUAGAUAUUCGCAAGAACACCAGUGGCGAAGGCGGCUCACUGGCCCGAUACUGACGCUGAGGUGCGAAAGCGUGGGGAGCAAACAGG
rnacentral:rRNA from 1 species